UACGUAGGGUGCAGGCGUUAAUCGGAAUUACUGGGCGUAAAGCGCACGUAGGCGGAUCGUUAAGUCGGGGGUGAAAUCCUGGAGCUCAACUCCAGAACUGCCUUCGAUACUGGCGAUCUUGAGUCCGGAAGAGGUGAGUGGAACUCCUAGUGUAGAGGUGGAAUUCGUAGAUAUUAGGAAGAACACCAGUGGCGAAGGCGACUUACUGGACACAUAUUGACGCUGAGGUGCGAAAGCGUGGGGAGCAAACAGG
rnacentral:rRNA from 1 species